CCGCGCUAAGCGGGGAGCUGGCGAUGCCCUGAACCUGCGAUCGCCUAGCAGGGCCUAGAUCCCCGCCCGAGGCGGUCCGGGUUCGGUGGAGGCCGGUGUCAUGUGCGGCGUCGAUGGUCCGGUCCCGGGCAAUGGGGGCCCGUGAACCGUGUCAGGGCCGGGAGGCAGCAGCACUAAGCGGGUCACCCCAUGUGCUGCGGGGCAGCCGGGCCGGAGCUGGCGGCCGGACGCUCGCCGGGUCUGGUCCCGUCGACGGCGGGGUGCGCGG
rnacentral:SRP_RNA from 1 species